GCAAACUUGGUCAUUUAGAGGAAGUAAAAGUCGUAACAAGGUCUCCGUUGGUGAACCAGCGGAGGGAUCAUUACCGAGUUUACAACUCCCUAACCCCUGUGAACAUACCUAUCGUUGCUUCGGCGGGAUCGCCCCGGCGCCAUCGCGGCCCGGACCCAGGCGCCCGCCGGAGGAUUCAAACCCGUGAAUUUGUGAAGUAUCUUCUGAGUAAACAAGCAAAUAAGUUAAAACUUUCAACAACGGAUCUCUUGGCUCUGGCAUCGAUGAAGAACGCAGC
rnacentral:misc_RNA from 1 species